rnacentral:rRNA from 1 species
AGUGAACGCUGGCGGUAGGCCUAACACAUGCAAGUCGAACGGCAGCACAGUAAGAGCUUGCUCUUACGGGUGGCGAGUGGCGGACGGGUGAGGAAUACAUCGGAAUCUACUUUUUCGUGGGGGAUAACGUAGGGAAACUUACGCUAAUACCGCAUACGACCUACGGGUGAAAGCAGGGGAUCUUCGGACCUUGCGCGACUGAAUGAGCCGAUGUCGGAUUAGCUAGUUGGCAGGGUAAAGGCCCACCAAGGCGACGAUCCGUAGCUGGUCUGAGAGGAUGAUCAGCCACACUGGAACUGAGACACGGUCCAGACUCCUACGGGAGGCAGCAGUGGGGAAUAUUGGACAAUGGGCGCAAGCCUGAUCCAGCCAUACCGCGUGGGUGAAGAAGGCCUUCGGGUUGUAAAGCCCUUUUGUUGGGAAAGAAAAGCAGCAGGUUAAUACCCCGCUGUUCUGACGGUACCCAAAGAAUAAGCACCGGCUAACUUCGUG